rnacentral:rRNA from 1 species
UGCGGAGGGUGCAAGCGUUAUCCGGAUUUACUGGGUUUAAAGGGUGCGUAGGUGGGCAGGUAAGUCAGUGGUGAAAUCUCCGAGCUUAACUCGGAAACUGCCAUUGAUACUAUCUGUCUUGAAUAUCCUGGAGGUAAGCGGAAUAUGUCAUGUAGCGGUGAAAUGCUUAGAUAUGACAUAGAACACCAAUUGCGAAGGCAGCUUACUACGGGAUUAUUGACACUGAGGCACGAAAGCGUGGGGAUCAAACAGG